rnacentral:rRNA from 1 species
GCCAGCGGUGACAGCACGUUAAAUGUCCGGGUUCCUAAUGGAUCACUGAAGGUAAGCAACGUUCCGCGUUUCUGGUAAGCAGAUGGGUGACCAUCUGGGCAAUCACGUGCUACCUGGC